rnacentral:rRNA from 1 species
AGAGUUUGAUCCUGGCUCAGAACGUACGCUGGCGGCACGCCUUAUACAUGCAAGUCGAACGAAGUAGCAAUACUUAGUGGCAGACGGGUGAGUAGCAUGUGGGUAUCUUCCCUUUGGUGAGGAAUAACAAGAGGAAACUUUUGCUAAUACCUCAUAAGUCUUUACGGAGAAAGCUUUAUGCGCCAAUGGAUGAGCCCGCACUUGAUUAGUUUGUUGAUGGGGUAAUGGCCUACCAAGACUUUGAUCAAUAGCUGAUUUGAGAGGAUGAUCAGCCACAUUGGGACUGAGACACGGCCCAAACUCCUACGGGAGGCAGCAGUAGGGAAUCUUGCACAAUGGAGGAAACUCUGAUGCAGCGAUGCCGCGUGAGUGAAGAAGGCCUUUGGGUUGUAAAGCUCUUUCGUCGGGGAAGAAAAUGACUGUACCCGAAUAAGAAGGUCCGGCUAACUUCGUGCCAGCAGCCGCGGUAAUACGAAGGGACCUAGCGUAGUUCGGAAUUACUGGGCUUAAAGAGUUCGUAGGUGGUUAAAAAAGUUGGUGGUGAAAUCCCAGAGCUUAACUCUGGAACUGCCAUCAAAACUUUUUAGCUAGAGUUUGAUAGAGGAAAGCAGAAUUUCUAGUGUAGAGGUGAAAUUCGUAGAUAUUAGAAAGAAUACCGAUUGCGAAGGCAGCUUUCUGGAUCAUUACUGACACUGAGGAACGAAAGCAUGGGUAGCGAAGAGGAUUAGAUACCCUCGUAGUCCAUGCCGUAACGAUGUGUGUUAGACGUUGGAAAUUUAUUUUCAGUGUCGCAGGGGGAGUACGA